rnacentral:rRNA from 1 species
GAUGAACGCUGGCGGCGUGCUUAACACAUGCAAGUCGAACGGAAAGGCCUCUGCUUGCAGGGGUACUCGAGUGGCGAACGGGUGAGUAACACGUGGGUGAUCUGCCCUGCACUUCGGGAUAAGCCUGGGAAACUGGGUCUAAUACCGGAUAGGACAAUGGUUUGGAUGCUGUUGUGGAAAGUUUUUCGGUGUGGGAUGAGCUCGCGGCCUAUCAGCUUGUUGGUGGGGUAAUGGCCUACCAAGGCGUCGACGGGUAGCCGGCCUGAGAGGGUGUACGGCCACAUUGGGACUGAGAUACGGCCCAGACUCCUACGGGAGGCAGCAGGGGGGAAUAUUGCACAAUGGGCGCAAGCCUGAUGCAGCGACGCCGCGUGGGGGAUGACGGCCUUCGGGUUGUAAACUCCUUUCGCUAGGGACGAAGCGUUUUUGUGACGGUACCUGGAGAAGAAGCACCGGCUAACUACGUG